UACGGGGGGAGCAAGCGUUGUUCGGAUUUACUGGGCGUAAAGGGCGCGUAGGCGGCCACCGCAAGUCGACUGUGAAAUCUCCGGGCUUAACCCGGAAAGGUCAGCCGAUACUGCGGGGCUAGAGUGCAGAAGGGGCAACUGGAAUUCUCGGUGUAGCGGUGAAAUGCGUAGAUAUCGAGAGGAACACCUGCGGCGAAGGCGGGUUGCUGGGCUGACACUGACGCUGAUGAGCGAAAGCGUGGGGAGCGAACAGG
rnacentral:rRNA from 1 species